GUCUUGGUGGCUCAGUUGGCAGAGUGCUGGAGUAUUGAUCCAGGGGCCGUGAGUUCAAGUAUCACCCAAGGCA